rnacentral:rRNA from 2 species
UGAUUAGAAGCUUGCUUCUAUGACGUUAGCGGCGGACGGGUGAGUAACACGUGGGCAACCUGCCUGUAAGACUGGGAUAACUUCGGGAAACCGAAGCUAAUACCGGAUAGGAUCUUCUCCUUCRUGGGAGAUGAUUGAAAGAUGGUUUCGGCUAUCACUUACAGAUGGGCCCGCGGUGCAUUAGCUAGUUGGUGAGGUAACGGCUCACCAAGGCAACGAUGCAUAGCCGACCUGAGAGGGUGAUCGGCCACACUGGGACUGAGACACGGCCCAGACUCCUACGGGAGGCAGCAGUAGGGAAUCUUCCGCAAUGGACRAAAGUCUGACGGAGCAACGCCGCGUGAGUGAUGAAGGYUUUCGGGUCGUAAAACUCUGUUGUUAGGGAAGAACAAGUACRAGAGUAACUGCUYGUACCUUGACGGUACCUAACCAGAAAGCCACGGCUAACUACGUGCCAGCA